GCAUCUAUGGCCGAGUGGUUUAGGCAGCCAACUCAUAAUUGGUUUUAGGCGGGUUCAAAUCCUGCUGGAUGCA
rnacentral:tRNA from 1 species